ensembl:lncRNA
AUGACAGUACUCAACUGGAUUCGUUCCGAGACUUGCCGCUAUAAAGUAUUUGUUGCAAACCGCAUUACUGAAAUCUUAGAGUACUCUGCUCCUGAACAAUGGUGUAAUGUUGACACCAUUAGCAAUCCAGCUGGUGAUAUCACUAGAGGCAAGAAUCUGACUGAUCUAGCCAAACCUAAUCAUUGGACUCAAGGCCCUUCUUUCCUUUAUUCCGACCCUGAUCAGUGGCCAAAAUUCCCUGGUAUGACUGAAAACUCUGUUGAUGCUACAGAGUUAAGGAAGACUCUGUUCUGUGGCCUUACUGAUGUUGAAGAUAACUUUGUGAAUCUUGAUGUUCAGCAAUACAAGUCGUGGAAUGAGCUUGUUGAAGCUGUGGCAGUUAACUCUUUGCUGGACAAGGCUCAGAUUGAACUUCUCCUGUUGCGACAGGCUCAGAGGAAAGACUUUGCAGAGCAGUAUGGUGCAUUGCGAAUUGGGAAAAUUUUUCCAUCUAGUAGUCGAUUGUACAAUCUUGCACCUGAGUUCGAUCCCAUUGCUGAAGUUAUUAAAGUAGGAGGGCGACUUCAACAUAGUCAAGAACUGGCUUUUGACACUAUUGAUCCAAUUAUUCUUGAUUCAAGAAACUCUAUCGUUCAACUUUUGAUUGCAGCUGUAGAUGCCAAAUUGGGUCAUCCUGGUGUAGAUAGAGUUUAUGCUCAUCUUAGGCGCUACUACUGGAUUUUCAAAGGUAGACAAGCGGUGAAGAAAUAUCAAAGAAAGUAUCUGGAGUGUGCCAAAUGGAAAGGAAAACCAAUAGUUCCUAGGAUGGCUGAUCUUCCUCCAUCUAAGCCCAAUUUGUUCAAAACUCCCUUAUGGUCCACAGGAAUGGACUGUUUUGGGCCAUUUGUGAUCAAAUCUGGUCGUAAGACUGAGAAACGAUGGGGAUUACUUUUCAAAUGUCAGACCACUAGAUGUGUUCAUUUAGAACUGCUGACUAGUCUUGACACUGAUAGUUUUUUAAUGGCACUCCGUCGUUUUGUAGCUCGAAGAGGACAACCUUAUGAAGUGAUCUGUGAUCAAGGAACUAAUUUUCAUGGGGGUGAGCGUGAACUGAAAAGUGCCUUUGACCAAUUAAGUCCAGUCUUGCAAGAAAAGCUGUCGAAUCAUCAGAUCAAAUUCACCUAUAAUCCUCCUUAUGCUCCACAUUUUGGAGGAACGUGGGAGAGGGAAAUCCGAUCCAUCAAAGGUGCACUUCGAUCUGUUUUAGGAAGUCAAGUAGUUACUGAGGAGGUUCAAACAACUGUAUUGGUGGAGGCUGAAGAAAUAUUAAAUUCCAAACCUUUAGGAUAUGUCUCUUCUAGUGCUGAUGAUUUGGAUCCUGUUACUCCUAAUUUGCUUCUAAUGGGGCGGCGGGAUGCUUUGUUACCCCAAGUGAUUUAUGCUGAUUCAGAGAAGAUAUAG